rnacentral:tRNA from 1 species
GGAGCCGUGCCUGAAUUAAAGGGUCACUUUGAUGGAGUGAAUCAUGGAGGUUAAAAUCCUCCCAGCUCUU